rnacentral:rRNA from 1 species
GAGGGAUCAUUACCGAGUUUACAACUCCCAAACCCAUGUGAACAUACCUACUGUUGCUUCGGCGGGAUUGCCCCGGGCGCCUCGUGUGCCCCGGAUCAGGCGCCCGCCUAGGAAACUUAACUCUUGUUUUAUUUUGGAAUCUUCUGAGUAGUUUUUACAAAUAAAUAAAAACUUUCAACAACGGAUCUCUUGGUUCUGGCAUCGAUGAAGAACGCAGCGAAAUGCGAUAAGUAAUGUGAAUUGCAGAAUUCAGUGAAUCAUCGAAUCUUUGAACGCACAUUGCGCCCGCCAGUAUUCUGGCGGGCAUGCCUGUCUGAGCGUCAUUUCAACCCUCAUGCCCCUAGGGCGUGGUGUUGGGGAUCGGCCAAAGCCCGCGAGGGACGGCCGGCCCCUAAAUCUAGUGGCGGACCCGUCGUGGCCUCCCCUGCGAAGUAGUGAUAUUCCGCAUCGGAGAGCGACGAGCCCCUGCCGUUAAACCCCCAACUUUCCAAGGUUGACCUCAGAUCAGGUAGGAAUACCCGCUGACUAA